GCCCGGGUGGUCUAGUGGUAUGAUUCUCGCUUAGGGAUGGCUUCAGCCUACAAACCCAAGCAUAUCUGCGAGAGGUCCCGCGUUCGAUCCGCGGCUCGGGCC
rnacentral:tRNA from 1 species